rnacentral:rRNA from 1 species
GACGAACGCUGGCGGCGUGCUUAACACAUGCAAGUCGAACGGAAAGGCCUGCUUUCCCUUGUGGAUUGCGGGUACUCGAGUGGCGAUCGGGUGAGUAACACGUGAGUGAUCUGCCCCCAACUUGGGUAUAAGCCUGGGAAACUGGGUCUAAUUCCCGAUAGGACUGCAGGGUGGUGCCUGUGGUGGAAAACGAUUUUCUAGUGGUUGGGGAUGAGCUCGCGGCCUAUCAGCUUGUUGGUGGGGUAAUGGCCUACCAAGGCGGCGACGGGUAGCCGGCCUGAGAGGGUGGACGGCCACAUUGGGACUGAGAUACGGCCCAGACUCCUACGGGAGGCAGCAGUGGGGAAUAUUGCACAAUGGGCGGAAGCCUGAUGCAGCGACGCCGCGUGGGGGAUGACGGCCUUCGGGUUGUAAACUCCUUUCGACCGCGAGGAAGCCACCUGGUUGGAAGGGUGGUGACGGUAGUGGUAGAAGAAGCACCGGCUAACUACGUG